rnacentral:rRNA from 1 species
CACGUGAGUAACCUGCCCCCGAGAGCGGGAUAGCCCUGGGAAACUGGGAUUAAUACCGCAUAGUAUCGAAAGAUUAAAGCAGCAAUGCGCUUGGGGAUGGGCUCGCGGCCUAUUAGUUAGUUGGUGAGGUAACGGCUCACCAAGGCGAUGACGGGUAGCCGGUCUGAGAGGAUGUCCGGCCACACUGGAACUGAGACACGGUCCAGACACCUACGGGUGGCAGCAGUCGAGAAUCAUUCACAAUGGGGGAAACCCUGAUGGUGCGACGCCGCGUGGGGGAAUGAAGGUCUUCGGAUUGUAAACCCCUGUCAUGUGGGAGCAAAUUAAAAAGAUAGUACCACAAGAGGAAGAGACGGCUAACUCUGUGCCAGCAGCCGCGGUAAUACAGAGGUCUCAAGCGUUGUUCGGAAUCACUGGGCGUAAAGCGUGCGUAGGCUGUUUCGUAAGUCGUGUGUGAAAGGCGCGGGCUCAACCCGCGGACGGCACAUGAUACUGCGAGACUAGAGUAAUGGAGGGGGAACCGGAAUUCUCGGUGUAGCAGUGAAAUGCGUAGAUAUCGAGAGGAACACUCGUGGCGAAGGCGGGUUCCUGGACAUUAACUGACGCUGAGGCACGAAGGCCAGGGGAGCGAAAGGGAUUAGAUACCCCUGUAGUCCUGGCAGUAAACGGUGCACGCUUGGUGUGCGGGGAAUCGACCCCCUGCGUGCCGGAGCUAACGCGUUAAGCGUGCCGCCUGGGGAGUACGGUCGCAAGAUUAAAACUCAAAGAAAUUGACGGGGACCCGCACAAGCGGUGGAGUAUGUGGCUUAAUUCGAUGCAACGCGAAGAACCUUACCUGGGCUUGACAUGUAAUGAACAACAUGUGAAAGCAUGCGACUCUUCGGAGGCGUUACACAGGUGCUGCAUGGCCGUCGUCAGCUCGUGUCGUGAGAUGUUUGGUUAAGUCCAGCAACGAGCGCAACCCCUGUUGCCAGUUACCAGCACGUGAAGGUGGGGACUCUGGCGAGACUGCCCAGAUCAACUGGGAGGAAGGUGGGGACGACGUCAGGUCAGUAUGGCCCUUAUGCCCAGGGCUGCACACGUACUACAAUGCCCAGUACAGAGGGGGCCGAAGCCGCGAGGCGGAGGAAAUCCUAAAAACUGGGCCCAGUUCGGACUGUAGGCUGCAACCCGCCUACACGAAGCCGGAAUCGCUAGUAAUGGCGCAUCAGCUACGGCGCCGUGAAUACGUUCCCGGGUCUUGUACACACCGCCCG